UACGUAAGGUCCGAGCGUUGUCCGGAAUCAUUGGGCGUAAAGGGUACGUAGGCGGAUAAGCAAGUUAGAAGUGAAAUCCUAUAGCUCAACUAUAGUAAGCUUUUAAAACUGUUCAUCUUGAGGUAUGGAAGGGAAGGUAGAAUUCUUAGUGUAGCGGUGAAAUGCGUAGAUAUUAGGAGGAAUACCGGUUGCGAAGGCGACUUUCUAGCCAUAAACUGACACUGAGGUACGAAAGCGUGGGUAGCAAACAGG
rnacentral:rRNA from 1 species